UAGAGUUUGAUCCUGGCUCAGAUUGAACGCUGGCGGCAGGCCUAACACAUGCAAGUCGAGCGGAUGACGGGAGCUUGCUCCUUGAUUCAGCGGCGGACGGGUGAGUAAUGCCUAGGAAUCUGCCUGGUAGUGGGGGACAACGUUUCGAAAGGAACGCUAAUACCGCAUACGUCCUACGGGAGAAAGCAGGGGACCUUCGGGCCUUGCGCUAUCAGAUGAGCCUAGGUCGGAUUAGCUAGUUGGUGGGGUAAUGGCUCACCAAGGCGACGAUCCGUAACUGGUCUGAGAGGAUGAUCAGUCACACUGGAACUGAGACACGGUCCAGACUCCUACGGGAGGCAGCAGUGGGGAAUAUUGGACAAUGGGCGAAAGCCUGAUCCAGCCAUGCCGCGUGUGUGAAGAAGGUCUUCGGAUUGUAAAGCACUUUAAGUUGGGAGGAAGGGCAGUAAGCUAAUACCUUGCUGUUUUGACGUUACCGACAGAAUAAGCACCGGCUAACUCUGUGCCAGCGGCCGCGGUAAUACAGAGGGUGCAAGCGUUAAUCGGAAUUACUGGGCGUAAAGCGCGCGUAGGUGGUUUGUUAAGUUGGAUGUGAAAGCCCCGGGCUCAACCUGGGAACUGCAUCCAAAACUGGCAAGCUAGAGUACGGUAGAGGGUGGUGGAAUUUCCUGUGUAGCGGUGAAAUGCGUAGAUAUAGGAAGGAACACCAGUGGCGAAGGCGACCACCUGGACUGAUACUGACACUGAGGUGCGAAAGCGUGGGGAGCAAACAGGAUUAGAUACCCUGGUAGUCCACGCCGUAAACGAUGUCAACUAGCCGUUGGAAUCCUUGAGAUUUUAGUGGCGCAGCUAACGCAUUAAGUUGACCGCCUGGGGAGUACGGCCGCAAGGUUAAAACUCAAAUGAAUUGACGGGGCCCGCACA
rnacentral:rRNA from 1 species